rnacentral:lncRNA from 1 species
UUGGGUUUUAUGAAAUAAAAUAGGGUUUAUGUUUUGGAUGAUUUCAAGAGUUUGAUAAUAGAUCUACGGGUGAAAUUUUGUGGGUUUAUGGUUAUAGUUGAGUUCAAUGUGUGUUGUGAAUUUGAAAUCAAUCUAACGGUUGAAUUGAGGAAUAUUGAGGUUUAAAUGGAUCAAUGUCUCAGAAAGUAGAAUUUUAGGUCUAGUGAGGGUUUUUAAGAUUUCUUGCAAUCUAUUAGUUGGAUUGAAGUGAGACUUA